AACAGCGUGACGUGGGGGUACCAAGAUCUGCGGGAGCGGCGGUCCCGGCUUCAGUUCUAGCCUACCCGGCAGCCUAGACGAGAGCAAGGCGAGAGGUGCUGCCGCCUCCCGUCGCCCCUGCGCUCAGAGGUCCCGAACCAGCCUGGCCGCUACUUCUUGCCGCUCCGCCUUUGGAGUGAGGAGGGCGCAGCUCGCGUCAGAAUUUAGAGGGCCAGGCAGGGUCGCGCGCAUGGCCUGGGCGGGCUCGCGGCGGGUCCCGGCUGGGACGCGCGCGGCAGCCGAGCGCUGCUGCGGGCUCUCGCUCCGCCCGGGCGCGCACCCGGCCCCGCCCCCAGGCCCUCUGCCGCCGCCGCGACCAAUGAGGUUUCUGACCUCCUGCAGCCUCCUCUUGCCUCGGGCUGCCCAGAUCUUGGCGGCUGAGGCUGGCUUACCUUCAAGCCGUUCCUUCAUGGGAUUUGCUGCUCCCUUCACCAACAAGCGAAAGGCUUACUCGGAGCGUAGAAUCAUGGGGUAAGCAUUCUCUCCCUUGCAUCCUUCCACUUCCUCUUUCCCUCCAAAUAACUAUGUCCAGGCAAGAAUGUCAGGGUAUCAUCGGUGGGCAAGAUUCAUCCCUAGCCAUCCCCCUCCCCAGAUACAAUACUGAUCCUCAAUCCU
rnacentral:sRNA from 1 species